AAGAGAAGCCAUCCCGUCUCCUCCUUUAUUUUCUCAUUGCUUGGCUCUUACAACUCUUGUCUGGUUUUCAAAUCUCCCCUCUCCUUACGCUGUGUGCAGCAUUCCCAGAAAGAUACAGCAGGGGGUGGUUUUCUAAACCCUCCCAAAAUAGAAAAGCUCUGCAAAGCCUGACUCUGAAACACAUUUGAUUCCAAAAAGCUGAUGGAACAGCAGCUGAAAUAACCCAGGCUGUCUUCGUCAUUUCCACUUGGGGAGAAUGGGGAAACUCCCUUGGCUAAGCAGCAUGUGACCUUUGCUGGGAUCUGAGUGGUUAGAAACAGAAAAGGACUAUCAGAGCAUCAAAUACUCAUCCCUCCCCUACCUGCGUAUGAGGUGAGUGCAAGCACCUCCUCUCCAGAAGGAGGUGCCAGACAUUGAACAAAUACUACACUUGACUUGUUUUCAUCUCCUUUUAUUGUCCUGCCAGCCCAAGUGCUCUCAGGAGGCUGAAAUCUCUCUACCACUGCUCUUAAAAGCAAACAUGGAAUUCAGGAAGGAAACAGAGCAACUUCUAAUGAACACGGUCUGGAUCUAGAGCCUUUAUCACCCCCUCCACCUCCCUCCUGCCUGUACCAUCCCAUGCCA